CUAAAUGAUUGUGGCUUAUUUUUAGCUACGCUUCUGGAAGUUGAUUUUGAUACCACUUUGUUUCCUGAAACUCAAAAAUCGUGAUUUUGCUCCUUGGAACUCGAUUUCGAUCUCACAAUGCCCUCUAACUCCAAAGUUGUCACUUUACUUCCUAAAAUUCAAUAUUCACUCCACUUUGGCUAGUUUUUAUGUAUAAUUUUGUUAAAUAACCGUUAAGUUUACUUAUGUGGUAUAAUUAGAGCCCACGUAUAGCUAACACAUCACGAGUAUAAAGCUCACAAAUUCAAUCAAAUAGUACCACAUAGAUUGAAACAAAACAAAAACAAAAAACAAAAGAAAAAAUAAUUUUCAAACAUUGUAUAACUAUAAAAAAGGAAAAGUAAGAAAAAUAGCAAAAACAAUUCAUUGGAUUCAUCUCUUUGAUCCCACUCUCUCUAUAAUCGUUGUCAAUACAUUCAUUCCUUCUCCCUCCAUCUCCAGUCACCUUAUAAUUAGUUCCAUUUAUUUUGUUAUUUCUUAUGUUCUUAAAUGAGGUGGCUGAUGGAGAGAGAAUAAUUUUUUUAUUCUUUCUUGCUAUUCAUUUAUUUCAGUAGAAAUUUGGCAUAUUACCAAUUAUAAAUUUUGAAUGGAUGAACUUAUUCUAAAAAAACAAAAACAAGACAAUGCAGAGCGAAUUUUG
rnacentral:lncRNA from 1 species